rfam:Triticum aestivum genome assembly, contig: Triticum_aestivum_CS42_TGACv1_scaffold_648150_T_3AS-0.174693_1AL-0.103979
CUAAUACUCCCUCCGUCCCAAAAUUCUUGUCUUAGAUUUGUCUAGAUAUAGAAGUAUCUAAUACUAAAACGUGAAUUGAUACAUCCAUAUUUAGACAAAUCUAAGACAAGAAUUUUGGGACGGAGCGAGUAUUAC